rnacentral:rRNA from 1 species
AUUGAACGCUGGCGGCAUGCUUUACACAUGCCAGUCGAACGGCAGCGCGGGCUUCGGCCUGGCGGCGAGUGGCGAACGGGUGAGUAAUGCAUCGGAACGUGCCCAGUAGUGGGGGAUAGCCCGGCGAAAGCCGGAUUAAUACCGCAUACGACCUGAGGGUGAAAGCGGGGGACCGAAAGGCCUCGCGCUAUUGGAGCGGCCGAUGUCGGAUUAGCUAGUUGGUGGGGUAAAGGCUUACCAAGGCGACGAUCCGUAGCUGGUCUGAGAGGACGAUCAGCCACACUGGGACUGAGACACGGCCCAGACUCCUACGGGAGGCAGCAGUGGGGAAUUUUGGACAAUGGGGGCAACCCUGAUCCAGCCAUGCCGCGUGCGGGAAGAAGGCCUUCGGGUUGUAAACCGCUUUUGUUCGGGAAGAAAUCCUCUGGGCUAAUACCCCGGGGGGAUGACGGUACCGGAAGAAUAAGCACCGGCUAACUACGUG